rnacentral:sRNA from 1 species
AGCCGCCACUUCCGAGAGCGCCUGCCGCCCCUGCGCCGCCGAGCCAGCUGCCAGAAUGCCGAACUGGGGAGGAGGCAAGAAAUGUGGGGUGUGUCAGAAGACGGUUUACUUUGCCGAAGAGGUUCAGUGCGAAGGCAACAGCUUCCAUAAAUCCUGCUUCCUGUGCAUGGUCUGCAAGAAGAAUCUGGACAGUACCACUGUGGCCGUGCAUGGUGAGGAGAUCUACUGCAAGUCCUGCUACGGCAAGAAGUAUGGGCCCAAAGGCUAUGGCUACGGGCAGGGCGCAGGCACCCUCAGCACUGACAAGGGGGAGUCGCUGGGUAUCAAGCACGAGGAAGCCCCUGGCCACAGGCCCACCACCAACCCCAACGCAUCCAAAUUUGCCCAGAAGAUUGGUGGCUCCGAGCGCUGCCCCCGAUGCAGCCAGGCAGUCUAUGCUGCGGAGAAGGUGAUUGGUGCUGGGAAGGGAUUAUUAUGAGGUCACAAUGAAGAUCCUUGCCAUUGACUAAAGGAUAUGAAAACAGGAGACAUUAAUAUUAUUAUUAAGUUGGGUUUUUUGUUCUAUCUCAUUAUGAGAAUAGAAAAUUAUUAAGAAUAGCUAAGAAUCACUAUUUCCAUUACUUAGGCAGGCUAUAAGGUAAAGUUAGGGCUGUACUAAGGAGUAGGAUAAGAGAAUUUUGCAUUCAAGUGGAAAAGGUAGGGAGAAGCCCCACCUUUCUAUUGCCUCGCUCAAGAAAUGUUGAGCUGGGAGUACUUUUGGGUGCUUAUGAAUGAGCAAAGGGAUUCAGCUUAUUUUGGCAGGGAGGUGGCUAGGAAAUAUGAGGAGAGGUGUUUGUCUAGGUGUGAUUCAGUUUUUCUCCAGCCUAGAGAGCUUGGGGUAGCAGCCCCUGCUUUACAGAGGAGGCAGCAAAGGCUGGGUGACUAUUGAGGUUGCACCAGCACUGACCUAGACCCAGGUCCCCCCAUUUCAGCUCUCUGGAGGAGAAGCCAAUGUGCAAGUUUAGGCAACCAGGAAAUCUGAGGGGAUGAAUUUCCUUUCUCAUCCGCCAGCCUGGGCACUGGGAGUGUCUUUGCCCUUAAAAGGCCUUGUUUUGUCUUAUCUGACCGCCGCCUGCCUCUUGCUUUUCCUGGGUUAAGCAGAGCUGUCUACACAUCAGCCUCUUAGCCUGCCCAGCUGUUGAUGGGAACUGGCUGUGGAGAAGUCUGUCUGUGCAACGUCCCAUCACUGUGUACAAACUCGGGCCUCAGUUUUUUUCUGGGACAGCUGUUUGCCCUGUGUUACAGAAUGCAUGUGAGGACUAGAUAUUUAAACAUAUGAUGCCUG